rnacentral:rRNA from 1 species
AACCCGAUGCAAACUGCGAAUACCGGAGAAUGUUAUCACGGGAGACACACGGCGGGUGCUAACGUCCGUCGUGAAGAGGGAAACAACCCAGACCGCCAGCUAAGGUCCCAAAGUCAUGGUUAAGUGGGAAACGAUGUGGGAAGGCCCAGACAGCCAGGAUGUUGGCUUAGAAGCAGCCAUCAUUUAAAGAAAGCGUAAUAGCUCACUGGUCGAGUCGGCCUGCGCGGAAGAUGUAACGGGGCUAAACCAUGCACCGAAGCUGCGGCAGCGAACGUAUCACUUAAAGCGAUUCAGCGGGUUACGAUUGACGGAGCGAAGCGACGUCAAAGCGUAUACAAAGUCGAGUCGGUUUAAGGAUACGUUCGUUGGGUAGGGGAGCGUUCUGUAAGCCUGUGAAGGUGGCCUGUGAGGGUUGCUGGAGGUAUCAGAAGUGCGAAUGCUGACAUAAGUAACGAUAAAGCGGGUGAAAAGCCCGCUCGCCGGAAGACCAAGGGUUCCUGUCCAACGUUAAUCGGGGCAGGGUGAGUCGACCCCUAAGGCGAGGCCGAAAGGCGUAGUCGAUGGGAAACGGGUUAAUAUUCCCGUACUUGGUGUUACUGCGAAGGGGGGACGGAGAAGGCUAUGUUGGCCGGGCGACGGUUGUCCCGGUUUAAGCGUGUAGGUGUGUGUUCCAGGUAAAUCCGGUUCACUUUAACACUGAGGCGUGAUGACGAGGCACUACGGUGCUGAAGCAACAAAUGCCCUGCUUCCAGGAAAAGCCUCUAAGCAUCAGGUAACAUCAAAUCGUACCCCAAACCGACACAGGUGGUCAGGUAGAGAAUACCAAGGCGCUUGAGAGAACUCGGGUGAAGGAACUAGGCAAAAUGGUGCCGUAACUUCGGGAGAAGGCACGCUGACACGUAGGUGAAGUGAUUUACUCAUGGAGCUGAAGUCAGUCGAAGAUACCAGCUGGCUGCAACUGUUUAUUAAAAACACAGCACUGUGCAAACACGAAAGUGGACGUAUACGGUGUGACGCCUGCCCGGUGCCGGAAGGUUAAUUGAUGGGGUCAGCGCAAGCGAAGCUCCUGAUCGAAGCCCCGGUAAACGGCGGCCGUAACUAUAACGGUCCUAAGGUAGCGAAAUUCCUUGUCGGGUAAGUUCCGACCUGCACGAAUGGCGUAAUGAUGGCCAGGCUGUCUCCACCCGAGACUCAGUGAAAUUGAACUCGCUGUGAAGAUGCAGUGUACCCGCGGCAAGACGGAAAGACCCCGUGAACCUUUACUAUAGCUUGACACUGAACAUUGAGCCUUGAUGUGUAGGAUAGGUGGGAGGCUUUGAAGUGUGGACGCCAGUCUGCAUGGAGCCGACCUUGAAAUACCACCCUUUAAUGUUU